CAUUACAGAGUUGGGGUCUUUCAGGCCCGAUCUCCAACCCUAUGUGUACUCACCUCGUUGCUUUGGCGGGCCCGGUCGGGGUGACCCACCCGGUGGCCUUCGGCUUCCCAGUGCCCGUCAGAGACCCAUUCAAAACCUGUCAAUUGUGCCGUCUGAGUAUCAAUGCAAUAAUUAAAACUUUCAACAACGGAUCUCUUGGUUCUGGCAUCGAUGAAGAACGCAGCGAAAUGCGAUAAGUAAUGUGAAUUGCAGAAUUCAGUGAAUCAUCGAAUCUUUGAACGCACAUUGCGCCUCUCGGUAUUCCGGGAGGCAUGCCUGUUCGAGCGUCAUUUCACCACUCAAGCCAUGCUUGACGUUGGGCCCUCGUCCCCUUGGGGCGUGCCCGAAAAUCAGUGGCGGCACUGUCCGGCUUCAAGCGGUAUCAAUUUGUCCUCGCUUUGGAAGUUUUGGACCUGAGCCUGCCAGACAACCCUCCCCCUUCUUAUCAAGGUUGACCUCGGAUCAGGUAGGGAUACCCGCUGAACUUAAGCAUAUCAAUAAGCGGAGGAAAAGAAACCAACAGGGAUUGCCUCAGUAACGGCGAGUGAAGCGGCAACAGCUCAAAUUUGAAAUCUGGCCCUUUCAGGGUCCGAGUUGUAAUUUGCAGAGGAUGCUUCGGGUUCAGCUCCGGUCUAAGUUCCUUGGAACAGGAUGUCAUAGAGGGUGAGAAUCCCGUAUGUGACCGGUCGCGAUGCCUGUGUGAAGCUCCUUCGACGAGUCGAGUUGUUUGGGAAUGCAGCUCAAAACGGGUGGUAAAUUUCAUCUAAAGCUAAAUAUUGGCCAGAGACCGAUAGCGCACAAGUAGAGUGAUCGAAAGAUGAAAAGCACUUUGGAAAGAGAGUCAAACAGUACGUGAAAUUGUUGAAAGGGAAGCGCUUGCAACCAGACUUGCCUGCAGGCGAUCAGCCGGUAUUCUUACCGGUGCACUUGCCUGCAGUCAGGCCAGCAUCGGUUCGGGUGGCUGGAUAAAGUCCACUGGAAUGUGGCUCCCCUCGGGGAGUGUUAUAGCCAGAGGUGCCAUGCAGCCCGCCCGGACCGAGGACCGCGCUUCGGCUAGGAUGCUGGCGUAAUGGUGGUAAGCGACCCGUCUUGAAACACGGACCAAGGAGUCUAACAUCUAUGCGAGUGUUUGGGUGUCAAACCCAUGCGCGUAAUGAAAGUGAACGGAGGUGGGAACCCUCAAGGGUGCACCAUCGACCGAUCCUGAUGUCUUCGGAUGGAUUUGAGUAAGAGCAUAGCUGUUGGGACCCGAAAGAUGGUGAACUAUGCCUGAAUAGGGUGAAGCCAGAGGAAACUCUGGUGGAGGCCCGCAGCGGUUCUGACGUGCAAAUCGAUCGUCAAAUUUGGGUAUAGGGGGGAAAGACUAAUCGAACCAUCUAGUAGCUGGUUCCUGCCGAAGUUUCCCUCAGGAUAGCAGUAACGUUUUCAGUUUUAUGAGGUAAAGCGAAUGAUUAGAGGCCUUGGGGUUGCAACAACCUUAACCUAUUCUCAAACUUUAAAUAUGUAAGAAGUCCUUGUUACUUAGUUGAA
rnacentral:sRNA from 1 species